GAUUGACGACGUCCGAGCUGAUGAAAACGGAGUAUUAUUCUUGUUGGACUCCAGUAACAAUGAAGCUGAGCUUUCAGUACCUACUAGUAAUACUGAUUCUCCAAAGAACUUUGAUGAGCUAUUAAUUACUGAGGUACAGAAAUAUCCAGCAUUGUACGAUCACCGGAUACCGAUUGAGCAACGAAGUCGUGCUAAACGCGAUAGCUGUUGGCGAAAAAUAUAUGUGAAUCUUCAAGGUGAGAUUCCAAUUGCAGACCUGCAAAAAAAAUGGAAAAAUGAGCGCGAUAAAUAUAUAAAGGCUAAGAAAGAAGAUCAAAAAUACGUACCAAGUGGAUCAGCUGCACAGAUAAAAAAGCCAC
rnacentral:misc_RNA from 1 species